CCCCACUGCUAUCGAGGUGAGACUUAGCCAGGCCAGUCGAACGACUCGGACUAUGGCGAGUAGUGGCAAACUGCUCAGUAACACGUAGCUAACCUACCCUCAGGACGGAGACAACCCCGGGAAACUGGGGUUAAUCCCUGAUAGGCGUGGAUUCCUGGAAUGGUGUCACGCUGAAACGUUAACACACCAUGUUUGUGUACACGCCUGAGGAUGGGGCUGCGGCCGAUCAGGCAGUUGGUGAGGUAACGGCUCACCAAACCUUUGACCGGUACGGGCCGUGAGAGCGGUAGCCCGGAGAUGGACACUGAGACAAGGGUCCAGGCCUUACGAGGCGCAGCAGGCGCGAAACCUCCGCAAUACACGAAAGUGUGACGGGGUUACCCAAAGUGUUCUAUUUAGAACUGUGGUAGGUGAGUAAUGUCCCCUACUAGAAAGGAGAGGGCAAGGCUGGUGCCAGCCGCCGCGGUAAAACCAGCUCUUCAAGUGGUCGGGAUAAUUAUUGGGCUUAAAGUGUCCGUAGCCGGUUUAGUAAGUUCCUGGUAAAAUCGGGUAGCUUAACUAUCUAUAUGCUAGGAAUACUGCUAUACUAGAGGGCGGGAGAGGUCUGAGGUACUACAGGGGUAGGGGUGAAAUCUUAUAAUCCUUGUAGGACCACCAGUGGCGAAGGCGUCAGACUGGAACGCGCCUGACGGUGAGGGACGAAAGCCAGGGGAGCGAACCGGAUUAGAUACCCGGGUAGUCCUGGCCGUAAACGAUGCAUACUAGGUGAUGGCACGGCCAUGAGCCGUGUCAGUGCCGUAGGGAAACCGUUAAGUAUGCCGCCUGUGAAGUACGGUCGCAAGGCUAAAACUUAAAGGAUUGGCGGGGAGCACACAAGGGGUGAAGCCUGCGUCAU
rnacentral:rRNA from 1 species